rnacentral:rRNA from 1 species
AGUGGCGAACGGGUGAGUAAAGUAUCGGAACGUGCCCAGUCGUGGGGGAUAACGUAGCGAAAGUUACGCUAAUACCGCAUACGAUCUAUGGAUGAAAGCGGGGGAUCGCAAGACCUCGCGCGAUUGGAGCGGCCGAUAUCAAAUUAGGUAGUUGGUGGGGUAAAGGCUCACCAAGCCGACGAUCUGUAGCUGGUCUGAGAGGACGACCAGCCACACUGGGACUGAGACACGGCCCACACUCCUACGGGAGGCAGCAGUGGGGUAUUUUGGACAAUGGGCGCAAGCCUGAUCCAGCCAUGCCGCGUGCAGGAUGAAGGCCUUCGGGUUGUAAACUGCUUUUGUACGGAACGAAAAGGUUUGGCCUAAUAAGCUGAGCUCAUGACGGUACCGUAAGAAUAAGCACCGGCUAACUACGUGCCAGCAGCCGCGGUAAUACGUAGGGUGCGAGCGUUAAUCGGAAUUACUGGGCGUAAAGCGUGCGCAGGCGGUUAUGUAAGACAGAUGUGAAAUCCCCGGGCUCAACCUGGGAACUGCAUUAGUGACUGCAUAGCUGGAGUACGGCAGAGGGGGAUGGAAUUCCGCGUGUAGCAGUGAAAUGCGUAGAUAUGCGGAGGAACACCGAUGGCGAAAGGCUAUCCCCUGGGCCUGUACUGACGCUCAUGCACGAAAGCGUGG